rnacentral:rRNA from 1 species
AUUGAACGCUGGCGGCAGGCCUAACACAUGCAAGUCGAGCGAGCGGCGGACGGGUGAGUAAUAUAUGGGGCCUGCUCGAUAGAGGGGGAUAACUACUGGAAACGGUGGCUAAUACCGCAUACUAUCGGAUAACCCAUAUGGGAUUAGCUAGGAGGUGGGGUAAAGGCUCACCUAGGCGACGAUCUACAGCUGGUCUGAGAGGAUGAUCGGCCACACUGGGACUGAGACACGGCCCAGACUCCUACGGAGGCAGCAGUGGGGAAUAUUGCACAAUGGGCGAAAGCCUGAUGCAGCAAUGCCGCGUGUAUGAAGAAGGCCUUAGGGUUGUAAAGUACUGUCAGCGGGGAGGCGUUACCCGAAGAGGAAGCAACGGCUAACUCCGUGCCAGCAGCCGCGGUAAUUC